GACGGAGGGGGCUAGCGUUGUUCGGAAUUACUGGGCGUAAAGAGUGUGUAGGCGGUUUAGUAAGUUGGAAGUGAAAGCCCGGGGCUUAACCUCGGAACUGCUUUCAAAACUACUAAUCUAGAGUGUAGUAGGGGAUGAUGGAAUUCCUAGUGUAGAGGUGAAAUUCUUAGAUAUUAGGAGGAACACCGGUGGCGAAGGCGGUCAUCUAGGCUACAACUGACGCUGAUGCACGAAAGCGUGGGGAG
rnacentral:rRNA from 1 species